AGGAGCCAAGCGCGCACGGGACGGUCUCGGGCCGCCCUCCGCCGGCUCCCCGCCGCUAACUGGCUGCUCACUUUAAUGCUGCGGGGAGCCCGGGCGCCCGGGGGCGCCUCGCUCCCCGUUCCCUCCCCAUCCCGUCAGGACUCUUGGCCUGGGGUCCUCCGCCCGGACCGCCCGGCUUUGUGUGGUGGCCCCGUCACGGCCACUGCCUGAGGCACGUCACAAAUCCGAGGAGCGGCCGACAGGACAGCCCUAGUCCCGGGCUCUUGGGGAUCCGGGCGGGAUGCAACGCGCCGCGCCCGCGGGGCUGCGGCUAGACCGGCCCGGGCAAGUCCCUAAGCUCUUCGGAUGUCCCCAACUCGGAGAGGGCUUAUGUUUGUUUUAACUGUCGGACUCCUCUUUCCACCGGACUGCCUACUCUGGGUUCUAAAGGAGGAUCUCAGCUGCUUUUCCACUUGCUGCUACUUUAUUUUGGUGUCCAAAAACUGAUCGGAACUUCAGGGAGCGCCCGACUCCGCUCUGCUCCACUCUAAGGCCAGCGGUGCCCAGAAGUUCAAAGGACUCAGGGCGGGGCUUGGAGGGCGGAGCCAGGACUACCUUGGCUAGAAGAUAAGAAUUCAGGAUUAACUUUAGUCAAGAUCACUCUUAUGCCAGCUUACCAAAGCUACUGGCCAACACCACAGUGGUCUCCCAAUGACUUUAUUGCUCCACAUGAAGAGGAACAGCUUUGACCUCAGCAGCCUUAUUAGUGUUUCUAAGAAAGACAAUGAAGUUCAUGGAGGACGCGUGGGAGGUGUGGGGGGCAAGUUGGUAUUUUAUUUGAGACAGGUGUCACUAUGUUGCUCUGUCUGUCCUGGAACUCACGGUGCAGACCAAGCGUCCUGAGUGCUGAUGCUAACGGUGUGCACCUCCACAAUGAGCAGAAGUGUGCAUCUUUCAGUGAGUAACAAAAGGCUUGAGGAGUGGAAGCAGCCCUGAAGGCUGCUCUGACUGCAUUGUUAGUGGCUGUCCCUAGACAGGUGAAAGGGUUUUGCCCCUGGACUGUGAGAAAGACUGUAACAGGACAUUGAUAUUUAUUAAGGUAAGGGCUCAUGAGCUCUCUCUCAUACUUGGAUCUUGAAAGGUUUAUGAUACUUAGGUAGGCCCAGAAGCACUCAGUAUUGAAGAGCUAAUUCUAACUCCCUGAAAGCCUUGGAUCCACUGGGAAAAGGUUACUAGGGACUUGAUUGGGUCAAAUUAACAACACAGAACUUUCAGAAAAGGUGGGAUUGCACUACCUGCAAUUGUCAGUAAGAAUCAGAAACCCUUGUGAUUGUCUUUUCUCUGGUUUGUCUGGGAACCUUUGGGGUGCCUGGUUUUCUAGAAUAAAGGGUUUAUCUCU
rnacentral:lncRNA from 1 species